GGAGUUAGCCGGUGCUUCUUCUGCGAGUAACGUCACAGAUGUAAGGUAUUAACUUACACCCUUUCCUCCUCGCUGAAAGUGCUUUACAACCCGAAGGCCUUCUUCACACACGCGGCAUGGCUGCAUCAGGGUUUCCCCCAUUGUGCAAUAUUCCCCACUGCUGCCUCCCGUAGGAGUCUGGGCCGUGUCUCAGUCCCAGUGUGGCUGAUCAUCCUCUCAGACCAGCUAGGGAUCGUCGCCUAGGUGAGCCUUUACCUCACCUACUAGCUAAUCCCACCUGGGCUUAUCCAUCAGCGCAAGGCCCGAAGGUCCCCUGCUUUCCCCCGUAGGGCGUAUGCGGUAUUAGCAGUCGUUUCCAACUGUUAUCCCCCACAAAUGGGCAAAUUCCCAGGCAUUACUCACCCGUCCGCCGCUCGUCAUCUUCAAAAGCAAGCUUUUGAAAUGUUACCGCUCGACUUGCAUGUGUUAGGCCUGCCGCCAGCGUUCAAUCUGACACAGNAUACUNANUAGCGGCGUGCGACGACGCGACUAG
rnacentral:rRNA from 1 species